rnacentral:rRNA from 1 species
AUUGAACGCUGGCGGCAUGCUUUACACAUGCAAGUCGAACGGUAACAGGGAGCUUGCUCCGCUGACGAGUGGCGAACGGGUGAGUAAUGCGUCGGAACGUGCCGAGUAGUGGGGGAUAACGCAUCGAAAGGUGUGCUAAUACCGCAUACGUACUGAGGUAGAAAGUGGGGGACCUUCGGGCCUCACGCUAUUCGAGCGGCCGACGUCUGAUUAGCUAGUUGGUGAGGUAAAGGCUCACCAAGGCGACGAUCAGUAGCGGGUCUGAGAGGAUGCACCGCCACACUGGGACUGAGGAACGGCCCAGACUCCUACGGGAGGCAGCAGUGGGGAAUUUUGGCCAAUGGGCGCAAGCCUGAUCCAGCCAUGCCGCGUGUCUGAAGAAGGCCUUCGGGUUGUAAAGGACUUUUGUCCGGGAGCAAAUGCCUGGUGUUAAUAGCAUCGGGAGCUGAGAGUACCGGAAGAAUAAGCACCGGCUAACUACGUGCCAGCAGCCGCAGUAACAC